rnacentral:rRNA from 1 species
AAAUUGAAGAGUUUGAUCAUGGCUCAGAUUGAACGCUGGCGGCAGGCCUAACACAUGCAAGUCGAGCGGUAGCACAGAGAGCUUGCUCUCGGGUGACGAGCGGCGGACGGGUGAGUAAUGUCUGGGAAACUGCCUGAUGGAGGGGGAUAACUACUGGAAACGGUAGCUAAUACCGCAUAACGUCGCAAGACCAAAGUGGGGGACCUUCGGGCCUCAUGCCAUCAGAUGUGCCCAGAUGGGAUUAGCUAGUAGGUGGGGUAAUGGCUCACCUAGGCGACGAUCCCUAGCUGGUCUGAGAGGAUGACCAGCCACACUGGAACUGAGACACGGUCCAGACUCCUACGGGAGGCAGCAGUGGGGAAUAUUGCACAAUGGGCGCAAGCCUGAUGCAGCCAUGCCGCGUGUGUGAAGAAGGCCUUCGGGUUGUAAAGCACUUUCAGCGGGGAGGAAGGCGGUGAGGUUAAUAACCUCAGCGAUUGACGUUACCCGCAGAAGAAGCACCGGCUAACUCCGUGCCAGCAGCCGCGGUAAUACGGAGGGUGCAAGCGUUAAUCGGAAUUACUGGGCGUAAAGCGCACGCAGGCGGUCUGUCAAGUCGGAUGUGAAAUCCCCGGGCUCAACCUGGGAACUGCAUUCGAAACUGGCAGGCUAGAGUCUUGUAGAGGGGGGUAGAAUUCCAGGUGUAGCGGUGAAAUGCGUAGAGAUCUGGAGGAAUACCGGUGGCGAAGGCGGCCCCCUGGACAAAGACUGACGCUCAGGUGCGAAAGCGUGGGGAGCAAACAGGAUUAGAUACCCUGGUAGUCCACGCCGUAAACGAUGUCGAUUUGGAGGUUGUGCCCUUGAGGCGUGGCUUCCGGAGCUAACGCGUUAAAUCGACCGCCUGGGGAGUACGGCCGCAAGGUUAAAACUCAAAUGAAUUGACGGGGGCCCGCACAAGCGGUGGAGCAUGUGGUUUAAUUCGAUGCAACGCGAAGAACCUUACCUGGUCUUGACAUCCACAGAACUU